rnacentral:rRNA from 1 species
AAAGAAGAUGGUAAGGGCACACGGUGGAUGCCUAGGCACGGAAAGCCGAUGAAGGACGUGACAAGCUGCGAUAAGCUGCGGUGAGAGGCACAUGCUCGCUGACCCGCAGAUAUCCGAAUGGGCAAACCCGCCAGAACUCAUUUUCUGGCACGCCUUAGAAGAACACAUAUUCUUAGGCGAGGCAACCCGGAGAACUGAAACAUCUCAGUAGCCGGAGGAAGAGAAAUCAACCGAGAUUCCCCAAGUAGUGGCGAGCGAACGAGGAUGAGGCCAAACCGCCUGUAGGGAAACCGCAGACGGGGUUGUAGGGCAGGCAAUAAAGUGCAGCGCUUGCGGAAGCAGAACAGCAUGAAAAGGCUGACUGAAAAGGGUUAGAGUCCCGUACGCGAAUCCAACAUAGAGCGCAUGAGCCUGCUCCUGAGUACUGCCGGACACGUGAAACCCGGUGGGAAGCAGGGGGGACCACCCUCCAAGCCUAAAUACUCUUCCGUGACCGAUAGUGGACAAGUACCGUGAGGGAAAGGUGAAAAGCACCCCGGGAGGGGAGUGAAAUAGUACCUGAAACCGUGUGCUUACAAGCAGUCGGAGCGCUUACCUUGCGUAAGUGUGACGGCGUGCCUUUUGUAGAAUGAGCCAGCGAGUUACGGUGUGUGGCAAGGUCAAAGUCAGAAACUGAGCCGAAGCGAAAGCGAGUCUGAAUAGGGCGAUUGAGUCGCAUGCUGUAGACGCGAAGCCAGGUGAGCUAUCCUGGGGCAGGCUGAAGCGGGGGUAAGACCCCGUGGAGGGCCGAACCCACUUAGGUUGAAAACUGAGGGGAUGACCUCAGGAUAGGAGUGAAAGGCUAAACAAACCUGGAGAUAUCUCGUUCUCCCCGAAAUAGCUUUAAGGCUAGCCUCAGGCGUUCAACACUGGAGGUAGAGCACUGAAUGGUAGAGGGGGCCUCACCGCCUGCCGACACCAAUCAAACUCCGAAUGCCAGCGUUUCAGAGCCUGGGAGUCAGAAUAUGUGGGCUAAGCCGUGUAUUCGAAAGGGAAACAGCCCAGACCGUCCGCUAAGGUCCCUAAAUUCAUGCUAAGUGGCAAAGGAUGUGCGUUUGCUCAGACAACCAGGAUGUUGGCUCAGAAGCAGCCAUUCAUUUAAAGAGUGCGUAAUAGCUCACUGGUCGAGUGGACAUGCGCCGACAAUAUACGGGGCUAAGCAUGGUACCGAAGCGACGGAUUGUAUCUUUAUAGAUACUUUGGUAGGGGAGCUUUCUUGUAUGGGGUGAAGCGCAAGGAUAACCUUGCGUGGACUUGCAAGAAGUGAGAAUGCUGGCAUGAGUAACGAGAAAGGCGUGAGAAACGCCUGCGCCGUAAACCUAAGGUUUCCUGGGCAAGGCUAAUCCUCCCAGGGUCAGUCGGGAGCUAAGGCGAGGCCGGAAGGCGUAGUCGAUGCACAGCAGGUAGAUAUUCCUGCACCUCCAACGUAUCGUUUUUACCAAUGGGGUGACAAAGCAGGGUAGCUCAAGCGGGGUUCUGGACGUCCCCGUGGAGCCACGUAGGUAGGCGGGUCAGUGAAAUGCGGCCUGCCGCUAUAAACUGAGGUGGCGCCCGAAACGAUUGAGCGAAGUGAGCAAGCCCAUACUUUCAAGAAAAACCUCUCGGGAGAUACUCGGAGCCCGUACCAAAACCGACACAGGUGGGUGGGUAGAAUAUACCAAGGCGAUCGGGAGAACCAUGGUUAAGGAACUCGGCAAAAUAACCCCGUAACUUCGGAAGAAGGGGUGCCACAGCGUGUGAGUGCACGUGCUGCACAAGCUGGAUGUGGCCGCAGUGAAAAGGUCCAAACGACUGUUUAUCAAAAACACAGGACUCUGCUGAAGUCGUAAGACGACGUAUAGGGUCUGACGCCUGCCCGGUGCCGGAAGGUCACGAGGAGCUGUCAGCGCAAGCAAAGCAGCGAAUCUAAGCCCCGGUAAACGGCGGCCGUAACUAUAACGGUCCUAAGGUAGCGAAAUUCCUUGUCGGGUAAGUUCCGACCUGCACGAAAGGCGUAACGAUUUGGACGCUGUCUCAACCAUGGACCCGGUGAAAUUGCACUAGUCGUGAAGAUGCGACUUACCCGCGGAAGGACGGAAAGACCCCGUGAACCUUUACUGCAGCUAGACAUUGGCUGCCGGUCCGUCGUGUAGAGGAUAGGUGGGAGACUGAGAUAUUGAGACGCCAGUCUCAGUGGAGUCACCCUUGGAAUACCACCCUCGACGUUCUGGCAUCCUAACCCGUGGCCGUGAUCCGGCACGGGGAACGUGUCUGGUGGGUAGUUUGACUGGGGCGGUCACCUCCUAAAGAGUAACGGAGGCGCGCGUAAGGUCUGCUCAGGAUGGUCGGCAAUCAUCCUUUUGAGUGCAAGAGCACAAGCAGGCUUGACUGCGAGGCAAACAAGCCGAGCAGAUGGGAAACCAGGCUCUAGUGAUCCGGCGGCUUCUGAGUGGAAGGGCCGUCGCUCAACGGAUAAAAGGUACUCCGGGGAUAACAGGCUGAUCUUCCCCAAGAGUCCACAUCGACGGGAAGGUUUGGCACCUCGAUGUCGGCUCAUCGCAUCCUGGGGCUGGAGCAGGUCCCAAGGGUAUGGCCGUUCGCCAUUUAAAGCGGUACGCGAGCUGGGUUCAGAACGUCGUGAGACAGUUCGGUCCCUAUCCUCCGUGGGCGUAGGAAAAUUGAGGGAGGCUGCCCCUAGUACGAGAGGACCGGGGUGGACGGACCUACGGUGUACGGGUUGUCUACCACAGGCACUGCCCGGUAGCUGAGUCCGGUUGGGAUAACCGCUGAAAGCAUCUAAGCGGGAAGCCCGUCCCAAGAUGAGUUUUCCUUUCGGUAAGGCCCCUCGUAGACCACGAGGUUGAUAGACCGCAGGUGUACGUGCAGCAAUGCAUUGAGCCGAGCGGCACUAAUCGGCCGAGCUCUUCUUUUU